rnacentral:lncRNA from 1 species
AGAGCCUGCUUUGAUGUGCCGUACUUCCUCGGUCGCUCCCGUUUGCUCUUAGUGGGCUCCAGCUACGACGACAUCACCGAGCACAUAGGUUGUGGAUGCGGCGGUCUGCCUUGGUGGAGGAGACGAGAAAACUGAGCUGUAUGGCGAAGAAGUGUUCUUGGAACGAGAGUGGAAGUGAGAGUGAGAGUGAGAGUGAGAGUGAUAGGGAACACGAAAGAGAGGGGGAAAUCUGAAAAUGGAAAAAUUAGAGCAGAUAUAUUAUGUCUGGUAUCCAUUUUAGUAAUAAUAGGUUUUCAACUUAUUUACAAGUUUGCCACCGCAUUU